rnacentral:rRNA from 1 species
AUUGAACGCUGGCGGCCGGCCUAACACAUGCAAGUCGAACGAGUGGCGGACGGGUGAGUAAUGUCUGGGAAACUGCCCGAUGGAGGGGGAUAACUACUGGAACCGGUAGCUAAUACCGCAUACCCUCGGAUGUGCCCAGAUGGGAUUAGCUAGUAGGUGGGGUAACGGCGCACCUAGGAGACGAUCCCUAGCUGGUCUGCGAGGAUGACCAGCCAAACUGGAACUGAGACACGGUCCAGACUCCUACGGGAGGCAGCAGUGGGGAAUAUUGCACAAUGGGCGCAAGCCUGAGGCAGCCAUGCCGCGUGUAUGAAGAAGGCCUUCGGGUUGUAAAGUACUUUCAGCGAGGAGGCGUUACUCGCAGAAGAAGCACCGGCUAACUCCGUGCCAGCAGCGGCGGUAAUUC